rnacentral:rRNA from 1 species
AGGACGAACGCUGGCGGCGUGCUUAACACAUGCAAGUCGAGCGGAAAGGCCCUUCGGGGUACUCGAGCGGCGAACGGGUGAGUAACACGUGAGCAACCUGCCCUUAGCUCUGGGAUAGCUCCGGGAAACCGGAAUUAAUACCGGAUAUGACCUAGGCCGACAUCGGCCGUGGUGGAAAGUUUUUCGGCUAGGGAUGGACUCGCGGCCUAUCAGCUAGUUGGUGGGGUAAUGGCCUACCAAGGCGACGACGGGUAGCCGGCCUGAGAGGGCGACCGGCCACACUGGGACUGAGACACGGCCCAGACUCCUACGGGAGGCAGCAGUGGGGAAUCUUGCGCAAUGGGCGAAAGCCUGACGCAGCGACGCCGCGUGGGGGAUGAAGGCCUUCGGGUUGUAAACCCCUUUCAGCAGGGACGAAGCGAAAGUGACGGUACCUGCAGAAGAGCGCCGGCUAACUACGCGCCAGCAGCCGC